UGGUUCCACCAGGCUGAAGAAAGAAUUAAACAACUUCCAAACCCAACAAAGUGGCCAGACUUCAACGUGGCCACAUGGGACAAGAAGACAAUCAAAGGGCUGCCAACCCAGAAAGACGGGAGCUCUUGUGGACUCUACCUUCUCAAGUACAUAAUGCUUUGGACGGGAUCCAAACUAUCCAAAACAUUUUCAAAGGUGCGCAUAUUUAGACUAUUUCAUGGGUGCACUGUACAUUACUUUCUUGGUUAA
rnacentral:rRNA from 1 species